CAUAUGCUUGUCUCAAAGAUUAAGCCAUGCAUGUCUAAGUUCACACUGUCUCACGGUGAAACCGCGAAUGGCUCAUUAAAUCAGUCGAGGUUCCUUAGAUGACACGAUCCUACUUGGAUAACUGUGGCAAUUCUAGAGCUAAUACAUGCCUAUGAAGCUCCGACCCUCGUGGAAAGAGCGCUUUUAUUAGUUCAAAACCAAUCGCCGUUCGUCUUCGGGCGGGCGGUGUCCCCAUUGGUGACUCUGGAUAACUUUGUGCUGAUCGCAUGGCCUUCGUGCCGGCGACGCAUCUUUCAAAUGUCUGCCCUAUCAAAUUUCGAUGGUACGUGAUAUGCCUACCAUGUUUGUAACGGGUAACGGGGAAUCAGGGUUCGAUUCCGGAGAGGGAGCAUGAGAAACGGCUACCACAUCCAAGGAAGGCAGCAGGCGCGCAACUUACCCACUCCCGGCACGGGGAGGUAGUGACGAAAAAUAACAAUACGGGACUCUCUACGAGGCUCCGUAAUUGGAAUGAGUACACUUUAAACCCUUUAACGAGGAUCUAUUGGAGGGCAAGUCUGGUGCCAGCAGCCGCGGUAAUUCCAGCUCCAAUAGCGUAUAUUAAAGUUGUUGCAGUUAAAAAGCUCGUAGUUGGAUCUCAGGUGCAGGCGGACGGUCCGGCUCGCGCCGGUUCACUGUCCGUAUUUCCUGCCCUACUGGUCUGCCGGCUCUCUCCCGUGGGUGCUCUUCGCUGAGCGUCCCGGGUGGCCGGCGCGUUUACUUUGAAAAAAUUAGAGUGUUCAAAGCAGGCCUCGGCUGCCUGAAUAAUGGUGCAUGGAAUAAUGGAAUAGGACCUCGGUUCUAUUUUGUUGGUUUUCGGAACUGGAGGUAAUGAUUAAAAGGGACAAACGGGGGCAUUCGUAUUGCGGCGUUAGAGGUGAAAUUCUUGGAUCGCCGCAAGACGAGCUACUGCGAAAGCAUUUGUCAAGAAUGUUUUCAUUAAUCAAGAACGAAAGUCA
rnacentral:rRNA from 1 species